ACGCUGAGCGUGAGGUCUAGUCACCUUAUCACAGAUGCCCAGGGGGUUAUUUAAAACACAUGCAGGGAAGCCAUUUGGGGUUGGCACCAAAAUGUCUUGUGGCAGGGAGCACGAGAGAGAGACAGAGAGACAGACAGAAAGACAAACAGAGGCAGAGAGAUAGACAGAGACAGACAGUGAGAUGGAGACAGAGACAGGGGGAAAUCCAGGGAGACUAAAGCCAGAUGUGGAGAAAUUAAGCUGGCCUGACUGGAGGUGUGACGCUGGACGUCUGAACUGACGAUCCCAGGAAGCCUUGGACUGGCUACUCCGUGGUACAAGAGGAGUCAGAUUGCAGGUCAUGCCCUGGAGUUUCUGCCUGCUGGAUGGAACAGCACUACUUAGGGAAGGUCUUCCUCAGGGUAAGCACAGAAGCCGCCUGACAGGCUGGGUACCAGCCAGCCUCUUUUCAAAGCAGGAAGCUGGAAUGUUCUCCAGAGCUCACCCACGGUUUCCUUAGCUCAGUGGCUUAAACUGCAGCACACGGCCUACUUAGCUUGUGCCAUGGUGUGUGUUCAGACAGCUAGUAAAUGCUCUCUGGGCACCUGUGGAGCGUUACUUGAGCCC
rnacentral:lncRNA from 1 species